UACGAAGGGGGCUAGCGUUGCUCGGAAUCACUGGGCGUAAAGCGCACGUAGGCGGACUCUUAAGUCGGUGGUGAAAUCCUGGAGCUCAACUCCAGAACUGCCUUCGAUACUGAGAGUCUCGAGUCCGGGAGAGGUGAGUGGAACUGCGAGUGUAGAGGUGAAAUUCGUAGAUAUUCGCAAGAACACCAGUGGCGAAGGCGGCUUACUGGCCCGGUACUGACGCUGAGGUGCGAAAGCGUGGGGAGCAAACAGG
rnacentral:rRNA from 1 species